rnacentral:rRNA from 1 species
AGUGAACGCUGGCGGCAGGCCUAACACAUGCAAGUCGAGCGGCAGCGCGGGGGCAACCCUGGCGGCGAGCGGCGGACGGGUGAGGAAUUCGUCGGAAUUUGCUUUUUUGUGGGGGAUAACGUAGGGAAACUUACGCUAAUACCGCAUACGUCCUACGGGAGAAAGUGGGGGACUGCAAGGCCUCACGCAGAAAGAUGAGCCGACGACCGAUUAGCUAGUUGGUGGGGUAAAGGCACACCAAGGCGACGAUCGGUAGCUGGUCUGAGAGGAUGAUCAGCCACAAUGGGAGUGAGAGACAGCGCAGACGACUACAGAAGGCAGCAGUGGGGAAAAUUGGACUAUGGGCGCAAGCCUGAUCCAGCCAUGCCGCGUGUGUGAAGAAGUCCGUCGGGUUGUAAAGCACUUUUGUCCGGAAGGAAAUCCCUGGAGCUAAUACCAACGGAGGAUGACGGUACCGUGAGAAUAAGCACCGGCAAACUUCG